ACAUAGACUAAGGAGCAGCUGCUAGGUGCAGCCAACCCAACAACAUCGACUCUCUGUUUUCUUGUAUUUUGUGGCAUAAAAGAAGAACCAAACCCUACCUUGUACCCGUGUUCUGUGUGCGUGUGUGACAGUGGUGGUAGCUAGCAUCUUCUCUCUCUGCUCUAACCUCUUAAUUUCAAAAUGGUGAAAGCAAGUGAGAGCGGUGCAGUUCCUGAGCUGGUUAUGGAUGCAGCCAACGCCACUCUCUCCAACCUUCAACUACUCCGAACGCAUUUUAACGACUUUUUGUCGCUCUCCGACCCUCAAACCCUCUCCCAAAUGCCCCCUCUUCAACGAGCUCACGCUCUCUUCAUCCUCGCUAAAAUCACCUCUACCCUUCUCGAAUUGAAUUUGAGAUGUAGUGGGGUCCACCCAGAUGAUCAUCCCAUCAAAUCAGAGCUCGACAGGGUGAACUUGUACGAGGACAAACUGGAACGUAUGGUUGAUUUGAGUAAAGCUCCACUGCGACCUUCCACUACCUUGAAUUAUCAGGCGGCUACACGCUUCAUAGAACACUCGCUGCCUGACCUGACUUCUGAGCAGAGGGCAAAUAUGAGGAACAUAAGUAGAGGGGAGAGAACAAAGACAAACCUUCCAGGUCGGGCAGGUCAAAAGAGGAAGUAUCAUUCUUCUGAAAAACAAUCUGUUAAAGCAGCUGCCAAGGAUUUUUUGGAGAAAGCUGCUCGGGAGCUUCUUGGUGAUACCAGUGGCGGUAUUAAGGGACCGCUACAAGUUGACAUGUCAGAGGAUGAUGACGACAAACAGCCCUUAUCCUGAUUUUCCAGAAAUUUGGUGGUCCCACAGGCCUGAUAGCAGGUGGCUUAAUAGGCUUAACAAGCCUUGUUAGGGUUGGCUCCAAUACCAGGUUGAACAAUGUGGAGCUGUGUCCGUAAGCGUUUUUGCUUUUCCGCUUUUGGCGAUGGCUUCUAUCUUCUUGGCGACAGAAUCUUGUUAGAUGUUUCUAAUAUCAAAAUAUUUCAGUUUUGGUUAGCUUCGAUUAAUGUCAGUUUUCAAUAGAUGCUUGGGACAUUUGUCUGUUGUGGAUUUGCAGAUCAACCACAUGUCUCAAUUUUUUAUAGGCUCUAGUAAGCUUCCACUUGCUUGGGUUCUGAAAGUGUCAGAAGUGAGUUGUUAUAGGUCACAAUUUUUGAAAAGUUUUUCAAGAUUUAUGCAAUUUUAAGUUAUAUA